rnacentral:snoRNA from 2 species
CCCCUCUCAGGGUCACACCUGGAGAGUUUCCAGUACUCUCCCAGUCUUGGCCACGGGAGGGAGAGUCAAGCAGAGACCUAUCCAUUCCAUUCCUAGUUUGGGAAGUAGGUAGCGAGUGGAAGGCAAUCUGCUACAAGU